rnacentral:rRNA from 1 species
UACGUAGGGACCAAGCGUUGUUCGGAGUUACUGGGCGUAAAGCGCGCGUAGGCGGCGCGGUAAGUCACUUGUGAAAUCUCUGAGCUUAACUCAGAACGGCCAAGUGAUACUGCAGUGCUAGAGUGCAGAAGGGGCAAUCGGAAUUCUUGGUGUAGCGGUGAAAUGCGUAGAUAUCAAGAGGAACACCUGAGGUGAAGACGGGUUGCUAGGCUGACACUGACGCUGAGGCGCGAAAGCCAGGGGAGCAAACGGG